rnacentral:rRNA from 1 species
UACAGAGGUCUCAAGCGUUGUUCGGAUUCAUUGGGCGUAAAGGGUGCGUAGGCGGCGCGGUAAGUCGGAUGUGAAAUCUCGGAGCUUAACUUCGAAACUGCAUUCGAUACUGCCGUGCUUGAGGACUGGAGAGGAGACUGGAAUUUACGGUGUAGCGGUGAAAUGCGUAGAUAUCGUAAGGAAGACCAGUGGCGAAGGCGGGUCUCUGGACAGUUCCUGACGCUGAGGCACGGAAGGUCAGGGGAGCAAACGGG